UUUUUAGGGGAAGGUGUGGUGUAAAGGAUGUUCCGCCUAAUAAUUUACUUUCGUUAUGUUGGUGUAUAUCUGGUUUAAUAUUAUCGUUGAGUAAGYGAGUUUGUGUAGUUUUAUUUAAGCCAAGUCUAUGUGCUGCUUAUGAAAGUAUUCAUGCGUUACAUUUAUAAGGUUUUGGUUGUAAUACUAAAAUAUUUAGGACUUAAAAGUAAUGUUCAAUAAGUUUGUGAGUGUGAAGUAAGUUUAGCUCAU
rnacentral:rRNA from 1 species